rnacentral:rRNA from 1 species
GAUGAACGCUGACCGAAUGCUUAACACAUGCAAGUCAACUUGAACUUCGGUUUGGGUGGCGGACGGGUGAGUAACGCGUAAAGAACUUGCCUCACAGUUAGGGACAACAUUUGGAAACGAAUGCUAAUACCUGAUAUUAUGAUUUUAGGGCAUCCUAGAAUUAUGAAAGCUAUAUGCGCUGUGAGAGAGCUUUGCGUCCCAUUAGCUAGUUGGAGAGGUAACGGCUCACCAAGGCGAUGAUGGGUAGCCGGCCUGAGAGGGUGAACGGCCACAAGGGGACUGGGGCACGGCCCUUACCCCUUCGGGAGGCAGCAGUGGGGAAUAUUGGACAAGGGACCAAGAGUCUGAUCCAGCAAUUCUGUGUGCACGAUGAAGUUUUUCGGAAUGUAAAGUGCUUUCAGUUGGGAAGAAAAAAAUGACGAUACCAACAGAAGAAGUGACGGCUAAAUACGUG